rnacentral:rRNA from 1 species
UACGUAGGGUGCAAGCGUUGUCCGGAAUUAUUGGGCGUAAAGAGCUCGUAGGCGGUUUGUCGCGUCUGCUGUGAAAACUCAGGGCUUAACCCUGAGCCUGCAGUGGGUACGGGCAGACUAGAGUGUGGUAGGGGAGAUCGGAAUUCCUGGUGUAGCGGUGGAAUGCGCAGAUAUCAGGAGGAACACCAAUAGCGAAGGCAGCUCGCUGGGACGUUACUGACACUGAGGCGCGAAAGCGUGGGGAGCGAACAGG